UGGGGAAUAUUGGACAAUGGGGGCAACCCUGAUCCAGCCAUGCCGCGUGAGUGAUGAAGGCCUUCGGGUUGUAAAGCUCUUUUGGCGGGGACGAUGAUGACGGUACCCGCAGAAUAAGCCCCGGCUAACUUCGUGCCAGCAGCCGCGGUAAGACGAAGGGGGCUAGCGUUGUUCGGAAUUACUGGGCGUAAAGCGAGUGUAGGCGGUUGCCGUAGUCAGGUGUGAAAGCCUUGAGCUCAACUCAAGAAAUGCACUUGAUACUGGGUGACUAGAGGACCGGGAGAGGAUAGUGGAAUUCCCAGUGUAGUGGUGAAAUACGUAGAGAUUGGGAAGAACACCAGUGGCGAAGGCGGCUAUCUGGACGGUUACUGACGCUAAGACUCGAAAGCGUGGGGAGCAAACAGGAUUAGAUACCCUGGUAGUCCACGCCGUAAACGAUGGGUGCUAGACGUUGGCGAGCUUGCUCGUCAGUGUCGCAGCUAACGCGUUAAGCACCCCGCCUGGGGAGUACGGCCGCAAGGUUGAAACUUAAAUGAAUUGACAGGGGUCAUAGCU
rnacentral:rRNA from 1 species